AAUCCCAGAAGCUCUCGCUUGGUCAGCUUACACUGACCCACAGUAAACACAGCGUGACCGCCAGAAAUCUGCUAUUUCUCAGUGAGAAGUCUGGAGAAUCUCAGCACCUUCGUAACCAGCUCCCUGUAAGUGCUCAUCAACCAAAGAGCAAUUACAAAAUCCAUUCCUCACCGUGGAACAGAACUCAAUUGUGAAUUGUGGAAACUUCUUGAGCAGACAAACCGAGAUGAAAAUGUUCUGCAUCUUUGUUCUGAUCAGCCUGCAGUUGGGUCCAGUUGUACCCCACACUGCUCUGUCGAUGCCUUCGGCUACUGUGCUCGCCCAGGAGCAAGGAUCAGUGACACUUGAGUGUUUAAGUUCUAAUGAGAAGCUCCUUAUGAAGUGGGGAUACGUGAGCCCGGGCUCUUCAGAAACCAAGUGGCUCAUGAACUGGAAGCCGGGAGAGAAAAAGGCGACUCGAAUGCCAGGGAUCGAGCCUCGCUUCUCUCAAGCCGGCGGCAGCAAAUAUGGUCUAAAAAUCGACGCCUUGAGGCUGGAGGACUCCGCCACAUACUACUGCCAGAGUGGUGAGGUAGGAGAUGACUGGUGUGCCUGUGGGACCACACUGAAGGUCAAAGCAUAUGGUUUCAUUCAGAAGCCUGUGAUCCACCUGAUCGCUCCUCUGUCUGACGCUGCCUCUGCAGGACAAAAUGUUACCAUGACUUGUUUGGUGUCAGAUUUUUACCCUGCCGAUAUUUCUGUGACUUGGAGAGAUGAGAAUGGCCCAGUGGAUACGGGAGUGACCCAGUUUGCGGUAGCUUUGGGCAGUGCCAGCACUUACCGAACAGUGACCCAGUUGACCGUGCUGACAGCAGAGUGGGAGAGUAACCGCACCUACUGGUGUGAAGUGAAACAUGUGUCCCUGGGACAGGCGCUGCAGAGAGCUGUCACCAAGGAUCUGCACGACGUCUACACUGUGAAAUCCAGUGGAGUCCCAGCGGUGGCAUCGGUUUUGUUGUGGAUUCUUGCGGCCGUGGGGUCUCUGAUUUUAGCUAUUCUCGCUGUUACCCUCAUCUACAAGAAAGCCACUUCUUCCUCCCACACUGGGGCUGGAAGACACUGAGCUUGAACUUCAGACAGGAAUCUACCUCUGUCACUGGAAACCUGUAUAGGAGCUAUGCUUACAGAUUGCAGCGAGAUGUUAAAUUUGCAUCAAACUAUAGGAUUUUUCGGACUCUUCGCUAUCAGCAGUAAUGCUUAGAUGUGUAUUAGCUGUCAGUCAGUCACACUCUGGUUUCUGAGGCAGAAGAUUGUGUUCCCAAAUUCCACCCCAGGAUUUCAGUUCAGGAAUUAAGACUGACAUGCCAUCACUGUACUGAGAGAGCUACAUUGUCUGAAGUGUUACCUUUCGUUUGAGAGACUUAUCAGAAGACCUCAUUUACCCUUGCAGCUGAGCAUAAAAAAUCCCAAAGCACUAUUGUAAAGAAGGGCAGGGGAAUUAUUCCUGAUAUCCCUCGAUCAGCAUCACACACAACAAAAAUCAGAUUAUCUGAUUGCAGUCACAUUGCUGUUUGUUGGAUCUCACUGUGCAUAAAUUGAAGGCCACAUUUCCUUCAUUGCAACAGUGGCUACAUUGUUUCAGUGGCUGAGGGGAUGAGAGCUUCUGUCGAAUGUGAGCCUAUACUUUUUUCUCAGCCCUUAGACAGUGUAAUGAAUCCUUACUGAGAAGUUUUAGCCGAGAUGCAGGAGUGAUGCUAUUCUCACUGACCAGAACGGUCAGAAACCAGAGAUGCCAGAUUUAAUAUAAUUGGCAAAAUAUUCAGGAGCAUAAGGAGAUGUUAUUUUGUGAAUUAUCUGUAUUACUGUGUCUGAAAGCAUGAUGAAGUUAACUUUAAAAGAAAACUUGCAAAGUGGAAUCGGGAUAUGUCAUUGAAAAACAAUGAAUUUUCAAUGCUCUUGGGAAAACACAGGGUGAUUGGGUUAUUUAGGUUCCUUAAAAAGCUAACAGACACUGUGGGCUGAAUGGCCUCAUGAGCUGUACAAUUCCGUGAUGCUAACUACAAUCAAACUGAGAAUUCCUUUUGUCACACUCCCAUUGUGUUUUGUAACUGAAGCCAAUUGCUGGCUCAGAAUCCAAUAGACAGGCAGUUCCCAAAAUUUAUUUACUCUGCUUUUGGCAGAAAGAAGCAUUUUGGAGGCACUGCAUUAAACCUUCAGAAUCCGAUGAUCCAGUGUACAGUGUAUGACUCUGUUGGAAUUCCUGGCUGCCUAUUACUCUCUUACACAUUGGAAGAGAAAAUAUGUACACCCAAUUAUAGGGAACUUUAAAGAAAAAAUGACAGCUCUGAUUAUGCUUACAUCAUUUCUUGGUUUAGUCUUUUAAAUAAAUUUAAAUAAUAAAAUGUGUAGGUGAGUCUCCCAAAUGCCUCUGUUCUGUGGCUUUCUGCAGUCUUUCUCCAUUUAAAAAAUUUCAGUUACUCUUCCUUCCUGCCAAAGUGCAACACCUCACAUUUCCUCACCUGAUAUUAUAUAUGCCAUGGUUUGGACCACCUGCUUAGCUUGUCCAUAUCCCUCUGCAUCCUGGCUGUUGGCCUUCCCAACUAUUUUUGUGCCAUCUGCAAAUUUUGUACAUUCACUUUCGCCAUCUGAAUCAUUCAUAUAUAUUGUAAAUACUUGUCACCCCAGCACUAAUCCCUGUGGCACUCCAAUAGCUACAGGUUGCUAUACUGAAAGUGUCUCUCUUAACCCAACCCUUUGAUUAGUCAAUCCUCUGUCCAUGUUAAUGUGUUACCUACAACACUAUAGGCUUCUGUCUUAUUAAGUAGCUUAAUGCGUGGUACUGUAACAAACACCUUCUGAAAUCUAAAUACAUUACAUCCACUGCUUCCCCUAUAUCUAAAAACCAAAAGAACUAUAGAUGCUGUAAAUCAGAGACAAAAACAGAAUUUCAUGGAAAAGUUCAGUACAUCUGGUGGUAUCGGUGGAGAGAAAUCAGAGUUAAUGUUUCAGCUCAAGUGACCCUUCCUCAGAACUAUGAAGAAUGGCACAGUGGCAAAGUGGUUAGAACUGCUGCUUUACUGCAGCAGGGACCCAGGUUCAAUCCCACCCUUGGGCGACUGUCUGUGUGGAGUUUGCACAUUCUCUCCGUGUUUGCAUGAUUUCCUCUGGGUGCUCUCCCACAGUCCAAAGAUGUGCAAGGUAGUCGGAUCAGCCAGGUUAAAUUUCCCACAGCGUUCAGGAACAUGUGGAUUAGCAGUGGGAAAUGCAGAGAUCGGGUAGGGGUGCGGGUCUGAGUGGGAUGUCCUUCAGAGGGUAGUGUGAACUUGAUGGGCCCAAUGGCCUACUUCCACACUGUCAGAAUUCCAUGACCUUUAGCUAUCCUUGUAAAUGCAUCAGAGAUGAUUUCGCCUUCAUGAAACCAUGCACAAUCUGUUUGAUAUGCUAGUUUAUUGUGAAAAAUACGCUCAUGUAUUGAUGGGUUGAACUUUGCAUUACAUUAAGGGAACUCAGAUUGUUGCUGGAUUCCCAUCAUCCAGUUUUCUAAUCAUCACAUUGGAUAUAAGAACCAGAGAUCACUUCCCUCUGAAACUCAUGAUACUGAAAUGCUGGCUUUUUUCAUGUAUUCAUUGCGUUUUGAGAACAAUUUUACAAUAAAGUGAUGACCUGU